rnacentral:rRNA from 1 species
UACGUAGGGGGCAAGCGUUGUUCGGAAUUACUGGGCGUAAAGCGCGUGUAGGCGGCUAUGUAAGUCGGGCGUGAAAUCCCACGGCUCAACCGUGGAAGUGCACUCGAAACUGCAUAGCUAGAGUCCUGGAGAGGAAGGUGGAAUGCUUGGUGUAGAGGUGAAAUUCGUAGAUAUCAGGCGGAACACCGGUGGCGAAGGCGGCCUUCUGGACAGUGACUGACGCUGAGACGCGAAAGCGUGGGGAGCAAACAGG